ACUCUCUCUCUCUUCAAUAGCAAGCAAACACUGCAGUGGCCACGGAGGAGAGAGGGAGUGUGUGUGUGAAUAGCCGCCCAGAAUUUCAACACAAACAAACAUGGCAUCAUCAUCAAGAGCCACCGCCAACUCCCACAGACCCGCCACCGCCCACGCCAACGGGCCCACCGCAAACGGCGACCACCACAGGCCCACCGCAAACGGCGACCACCACAGGCCGUCAAACCACAGCCACAGCAGGGGCAGCGGCAACGGGCACCAGCACUACUACCCCCAACGACGCCGUAUCGGUCGUCGUCCUCGUCGGCUUCGUUCAGAGGCUGCUGCUGCUGCCUCUUCCUGCUCUUCUCCCUCCUGGCGCUCCUGGUCCUGGCCGUCGUGCUCGUGAUAAUCCUGGCCGUGAAACCCAAGAAGCCGCAGUUCG
rnacentral:lncRNA from 1 species